AGUGAACGCUGGCGGUAGGCCUAACACAUGCAAGUCGAACGGCAGCACAGUAAGAGCUUGCUCUUACGGGUGGCGAGUGGCGGACGGGUGAGGAAUACAUCGGAAUCUACUUUUUCGUGGGGGCUAACGUAGGGAAACUUACGCUAAUACCGCAUACGACCUACGGGUGAAAGCAGGGGAUCUUCGGACCUUGCGCGAUUGAAUGAGCCGAUGUCGGAUUAGCUAGUUGGCGGGGUAAAGGCCCACCAAGGCGACGAUCCGUAGCUGGUCUGAGAGGAUGAUCAGCCACACUGGAACUGAGACACGGUCCAGACUCCUACGGGAGGCAGCAGUGGGGAAUAUUGGGCAAUGGGCGCAAGCCUGAUCCAGCCAUACCGCGUGGGUGAAGAAGGCCUUCGGGUUGUAAAGCCCUUUUGUUGGGAAAGAAGAGCAGCAGGUUAAUACCCCGCUGUUCUGACGGUACCCAAAGAAUAAGCACCGGCUAACUUCGUG
rnacentral:rRNA from 1 species